GUACUCACUUGGGCAGCACAUGUACUAAAAUUGGAAUGAUACAGAGAAGAUUAGCAUGGCCCCUGCACAAGGAUGGCAAGCAAAUUCGCGAAGCAUUCCAUAUGUUU
rnacentral:snRNA from 1 species